rfam:Sinorhizobium fredii GR64 contig00007, whole genome shotgun sequence.
GGAAUUCGAAACAGCGUACUCCUCCUCCCAGCGCUGCUUCGAUAGGAUUGGCAACACUCCUCCUCCCGGUUGCCAAUUAUUCUCAUGACGCCCGCUGGACCUCCUCCCCCAGCGGGCGUCGUCU